UAACAAGAUCAGUGGUUAAUUUAAUUGAUUUAUAUAGUGUAUUAAAAAUGACAGUUAACUUUAUAUUUUAAUAAUUUAUAUAGUAUGUAGUGUGCAAUGAAAGGGUACCGGAUAGCGAGAGGUGGAGUGUGAGGUGAGUGUGUGCACAGCAAAUGCCAGAGUGUUAUUUCCCCAGAGUAUGAGGUUAAAGAGUAUACUUUUUUACAGAGUAUAUUGAGGAUUUUGUACUCUUGUCAGUGUGUUUUAUAUAGUUUUAGCGGUGUCCAUUCUUUAGCCAGUGUUGGUCCAGAGUUUAUUUUUACUGCGCAAACUCCCAGGGUGUCUAUAAUCUGAUUGAGUCUUUAGAGUUCGCAUAUUACGUCAUUACGUCGUCGGACGUCUCUGUCUGGAUAAGUGAAGUCGCCUGAGAACAAUGGCUGCCUGACUUCAGCGAAAGAAAGGGUAUCAAGAAAGAAGUGGUGGACUGGAUGAAGCUGGAUGAUGGACUUUUCUAAUCAGGAUUUCUGGAGCAAGGUGCUGCAGGACUUCCAGCUACUGUUUGGAGAAGAUAUUUCCUCUCAAUUUAUAGAAGUGGAGAAUUUUUCUGAAGCCAGAAAUUAUUAAAAGAUCCAAGAACCUCACCAAGACACCCAUGUUGGACUCUUGAUUCCCAAACACCACUUUAUGAUACACUAAAGUCCUUUAGGCAAGUCCCUCCACUCUGCGGCCAUAUUGCAACACAUUUUGGGCCCUUAUCGGGCAUCUAUUUGGGGCAGAAC